CGAGCGUGGCGGUGGCAUCCAUAGCUCCUCAUACCUUUGCAUGGACCACAGCCCCACCACCCCAGUUUUGCCACCUCCUUGAUCCCCCGACCGGAGGAGCGCGAGCAGUCGGGGCGCGGCCGUUGCAGGUCGACGGAGAACACAGGCCCUGCAUCCUGCUCCUAUAUUGGGUUCGUUGGUUUGUAGGGAGGUUUGAUCCUACAUGGCAGGCUAUUAAUUAUUAUAGGCACUACAUGAGGUGGAGCAGGAGUGCUAUCAUGUUCAUGCUUUCACAUCGAUCUGAGCACCAACUAAUCACUGAAAGUCGCUGAUAAGUCGAGCUAGUCAUGCGACUUUAUAUUUGUUUGAGUUGUGGGCUUCUGGUCGUGUGGGCUGACAAUCACCGACUAAUCGAGACUAAUUGCUCAACUUAACAACAAUAGGAAGAGCAAUAAAGAGAAAUGGCAUCUCUGAGCAAAAUCUCCUUUUCUGUGCAAGGUUUUAGCACCAAGGGUUAUGUGCACAAUAUUUACUGGAUAUUUAGUACUAUC
rnacentral:sRNA from 1 species